rnacentral:rRNA from 1 species
AUUGAACGCUGGCGGCAUGCCUUACACAUGCAAGUCGAACGGUAACAGGUCUUCGGAUGCUGACGAGUGGCGAACGGGUGAGUAAUACAUCGGAACGUUCCCGAUCGUGGGGGAUAACGGAGCGAAAGCUCUGCUAAUACCGCAUACGAGCUACGGAUGAAAGCAGGGGACCGCAAGGCCAUGCGCGAACGGCGGCGCCGAGGACAGAUUAGGUAGUUGGGGGGAGAAAAGCUUACCAAGCCGACGAUCUGUAGCUGGCCUGAGAGGACGACCAGCCACACUGGGACUGAGACACGGCCCAGACUCCUACGGGAGGCAGCAGUGGGGAAUUUUGGACAAUGGGCGCAAGCCUGAUCCAGCAAUGCCGCGUGCAGGAUGAAGGCCUUCGGGUUGUAAACUGCUUUUGUACGGAACGAAAAGGCUCUGGUUAAUACCUGGGGCUCAUGACGGUACCGUAAGAAUAAGCACCGGCUAACUACGUGCCAGCCGCCGCGGUAAAAC